CCUACGGGUGGCUGCAGUGGGGAAUAUUGGACAAUGGGGGAAACCCUGAUCCAGCGACGCCGCGUGAGGGAAGAAGUAUUUCUGUAUUUAAAGCUCUAUCAGCAGAGAAGAAAAUGACGGUACCUGACUAAGAAGCCCCGGCUAACUUCGUGCCAGCAGCCGCGGUAAUACGGAGGGGGCAAGCGUUAUCCGGAUUUACUGGGUGUAAAGGGAGCGUAGACGGGCUGGUAAGUCAGAUGUGAAAGUGCGGGGCUCAACCCCGGUACUGCAUUGGAAACUGUUGAACUAGAGUACAGGAGAGGUAGGCGGAAUUCCUGGUGUAGCGGUGAAAUGCGUAGAUAUUAAGAGGAACACCAGUGGCGAAGGCGGCUUACUGGACUGUAACUGACGUUGAUGCUCGAAAGCGUGGGGAGCAAACAGGAUUAGAUACCCGAGUAGUC
rnacentral:rRNA from 1 species